rnacentral:rRNA from 1 species
UACGGGGGGGGCAAGCGUUGUUCGGAAUUACUGGGCGGAAAGGGCUCGUAGGUGGCCAACUAAGUCAUACGUGAAAUCCCUCAGCUUAACUGGGGAACUGCGCCUGAUACUGGUUGGCUUGAGUUUGGGAGAGGGACGCGGAAUUCCAGGUGUAGCGGUGAAAUGCGUAGAUAUCUGGAGGAAAACCGGUGGCGAAGGCGGCGUCCUGGACCAACACUGACGCUCAUGCACGAAAGCGUGGGGAGCA